ensembl:snRNA U6 U6 spliceosomal RNA
GUAUUCACUUCGGUGGCACAUAUACUAAAAUUGGAAGGCUACCGAGAUGAUUAGCAUGGCCCCCGAGCAAGGAUGAUGGGCAAAUUCAUGAAGCAUUCCAUAUUUUU